UGAACAACUGCCUGCCAACAGGAAGCAGUGAAUGAAUCCCUUGUCUUGCUUUGCUUGUGCUUUUGCUUCACCUGG